CGGGAUUGCAGACGGUGUCUGGUUCACU
rnacentral:piRNA from 1 species